GACGAACGCUGGCGGCGUGCUUAACACAUGCAAGUCGAACGGAAAGGCCCCUUUGGGGGUACUCGAGUGGCGAACGGGUGAGUAACACGUGAGUAACCUGCCCUUGACUUCGGGAUAACUUCAGGAAACUGGGGCUAAUACCGGAUAGGAAUCCUUGCUGCAUGGUGGGGGUUGGAAAGCUUCGGCGGUUUUGGAUGGACUCGCGGCUUAUCAGCUUGUUGGUGGGGUAGUGGCUUACCAAGGCUUUGACGGGUAGCCGGCCGGAGAGGGCGACCGGCCACAUUGGGACUGAGAUACGGCCCAGACUCCUACGGGAGGCAGCAGUGGGGAAUAUUGCACAAUGGGCGGAAGCCUGAUGCAGCAACGCCGCGUGCGGGAUGACGGCCUUCGGGUUGGAAACCGCUUUCAGCAGGGGCGAAGCUUGUGGUGACGGUACCUGCAGAAGAAGCACCGGCUAACUACGUG
rnacentral:rRNA from 1 species